rnacentral:rRNA from 1 species
GAUGAACGCUGACAGAAUGCUUAACACAUGCAAGUCAACUUGAACUUCGGUUUGGGUGGCGGACGGGUGAGUAACGCGUAAAGAACUUGCCUCACAGUUAGGGACAACAUUUGGAAACGAAUGCUAAUACCUGAUAUUAUGAUUUUAGGGCAUCCUAGAAUUAUGAAAGCUAUAUGCGCUGUGAGAGAGCUUUGCGUCCCAUUAGCUAGUUGGAGAGGUAACGGCUCACCAAGGCGAUGAUGGGUAGCCGGCCUGAGAGGGUGAACGGCCACAAGGGGACUAAGACACGGCCCUUACGCCUACGGGAGGCAGCAGUGGGAAAUAUUGGACAAUGGACCAAGAGUCUGAUCCAGCAAUUCUGUGUGCACGAUGAAGUUUUUCGGAAUGUAAAGUGCUUUCAGUUGGGAAGAAAAAAAUGACGAUACCAACAGAAGAAGUGACGGCUAAAUACGUG